rnacentral:lncRNA from 1 species
AGGGGAAAAAAAGGUCUAUGAACACAACAAAAAAGCAAAUAGAGGCAAAUAGCAUUAAUUCAUGAUUAAGAGCAUUUAGUAGGAGCAAAUAUCAUUUUGUUAAAGUCUUAUCACAAAGUCAAAGUGUGAUUGUAUUUGCUUAUAUUCUCUCCAUCUCAUAUUAAUUAAUUAUUUUACUAAAAUUAAUUAUCUCAUAUUAAUUGAUCAUCUUUACUGAAUCAAACAAAUAUUAAUAAAAUAUUUUUCUAUAUUAUCCUUGUAAUUAUUUUUUAAAAAAUUAUCCAGACUUAUUUAUAAAAGGUGAAUAAAUAAAAUUAUAUUCUUAUUUAUAAUUUUUUAAUCAUCACAUAAAAUUGAAUUUACCCGGCUAAUAGAAAACGGAAGGAGUACUCGAUCGACAUAUAAAAAAUGACAGGAAGAGAAGAUUUAAUUAACUCGCAUUAAAAAAUGUAACUUUUUUAGAAUGGUUAAAGUCAUCAUAAAAUAUUUAUUAAAGUUUAAAAUAAAUUUAAUUCUUUAUUUUUAUUUAACUCUUAGAAGUAAUUGUUCUUUACAAAUUAACUCUUAGAAGUAAUUAGUCUUUACAAUUACAAAUAUUUUAUCUCUAAAAAUAAAAUAUUUAUAAAUAAUUUUUGAUUAAUAUUUUUAGUCAAGUCCACCUAAAACACUAAGACGACAAUAAAUGUUUUACUACUAGUAGCCUGCCUUUUGCAUUUGCAACCACCCCCACCUUUCAAUCUGGGAUUAAAAAUAGGGAUUGAAGUAGCUAAACGUUAAUUUAAAAGAUAAUCAAGUAAUAAUAAAUUCUAAAAAUUACACAAAUACACAAUUUAUAUUUUCAAUAUUAUAAAAAUUCUCAACUCUCUAAAUAUAUUACAAAAAUUCCAACAUACAUACAGAAUGCUAUGUUUAUGUCGGCUAUGUUAUGUAUAUUAAUAAAGAGAGAGUAAAGUAAUUAAAAAAACGAAAAAGAGUGUAAUUACUUGAUGAUUAAUUUAUUUAAUUAUUAAUUAUAUAAGAUAAACUUGAUUACAUUCACGAAAAUAUAUAAAUAAAAAUUAAGAGAGAUUGAGAUGGUUUGAUCACAUUAUUUAUUGAUCUAUAAAUGCACUAGUUCAUAUGUGAAAAUAUUAAGAGUAAGGUAGAUUUAAAAUCAUAUAGAAGAAAAUUGUUUCGAAAGACUUGAAAUAUUUUGAAAGGAAAAAAAAUCAUAUAGAUAAUAGGAGUUGAAAAUAUGUUUUAUUCUUGUUGAGGUGUAUGUAUGGUUGGUUUAUAAGAAUGUCCACAAGGUGAGAAUAUAUUGAGUUUGUUGUUGUUGUUAUUUUUUAUAUGAUGGGAGGAAAAGGAAAAUGAGGGAGUUCAUCAAGCGAGUUAGAGAGGAGUCAGAAUUUCAAGUAAGAAGGUUUAAUAUUAAAAAAAAAGCUAAGUCAAAGAAGGUUCAAUACCUAUUAUAAUCACAUAAAAAAUAAUUUUAAUUAUAUAUAAAUAGUAUAUUUUUUUUUCAAAAGAGAUUAGGACGAACCCCUAAAGAGGGCUGGUUCCGCCUCUGAUGAGCUAGCCAGCCCUCAACCUUGGCAUUUACCCUUUGUAUUCUAUGUUAAAGUUCAUUUAGAAUUCAUUUUCUUUUUUUUUAUUAUUAUAAAAAGAAGGAAGAAACGUUGAAUAAGUGGCAAACGCGGGUUGCCACGUGUCAAGAUCUAAGGGCUGAUGAUGGGCACACUUUCCCAGACAUAUUAACUGGAGCUGCUGAUCUUUUGACUUUUUAGAUUGCUAACCACAAAUACAUUGCACUUCUCACCCCACUCGCUCGACUAACACGUGAACACUACGCACCAUUCCGCCUUAUUUUUUUUUCCUUUCAAAUUUAAAUUGAAAUAAACUGGAAAAUUGUUUGUUUAAAUACUACAAUUCUUGUAAUCUUGUAAAUAUAUUUUGAGAAAACUUCUUGAACUUAAUAGGGACAAUUGUGCUUGAAUUAAAACACUCCCUCACACAAUCAAAAAUGGAAAAUGAAUACUCCAUCCGUUCAUUACUACUUAAUAUAAGUAUCGUCCUUACUAAAAUAGAUAAUUCUUAAUAUCUGUCAUUUUACAAAAUAAACGUGUAACUAGUUGUUUGUUUUACUUUUUCCCUUAGUAAUAAUAUGGAGAGAUAUUAAUAUAUAGUACAAAAAAAACAUUGAAUAAUUAUGAAUAAUAGAUAAUGAUAGUUUAGUCAAAUUAUCUUCUAGUUAAUGUUUUUUUUAAGGAGUUUAUAACUUAAAUAGGAAACAAGUAUACAUAAAUGGAGGGAGUGCUUACCAAGACUUUAGAAGUAUAAUUCGAAGGAAUAAUAACAUACAUUGUAAUUUCUAAGUAACGUUUUGUUGAGGAUUAAAUAUAUGUAGAUGUUAAAUCUAUCUCUACGCGAUAAGUUAUUUCUAAUGACCUUUAGUCUAAAGAAAUACAACGAAUGUAGAAACCUAAAAGAAAAAGGAACAACAAAAUAAGUGUAGCUACAAACUAAUAAUAACACACAUCAAACAAAAAAAACAACUACACAAUAAUUAAAUCAUAAGAAAAAAGAGACAGUAAAGUAGCAAUGUACUCCAAAAUAAGCAUAGCGAUAGAUAUUAAUUAGAAGCUAUUCAAGGUAUAUUGUAAGAUUGUAAUCGUAUUUGGAGUGAACUAAAAGUUCAUGAAUAAGUAACAUUUGGAAUGCAUAUAUGAAGAUUUAAAACUUCAGAAAAAAUUAUAUUUGACAAUCCAAAACGAAAUAAUAUGCAGUCAAAGAUCAACAGCCUAUACAACUUGGAAAAAAAGAUCAAAUGGUCCCCUUUUCUAUGUCCUUUUUUCAUUUUCGGUUAAAUUUACUCUAUGCUCAAUUCAUAAAGUUAAAAAAUGAAAAGCAAUAGUAUUAUUACUUUUCAUGCUCUUUAAUUGGACUUCCAAUUCAUGUAAAGUAUACAAACAGUUUUACUUCUUUAAUUAAGUAUUUCAAACCCAAGAGGAAGUAUUUUAAAGUACUUUGCCCAUAUUUUGAUAAGGAUAAUUGAAGUAAAUGAAAAAUUAUCAUAUGAAUAGUCUAUAUUUAAUGAAUCACUUAAAAAAAAUAGACUUAAAUGGAGUGCAAAGAAUGCGAAUGCAGUCAAUAUUGAAUUAAUCGGAGACUAAAACAUUACUUAUUAAUUGAUUGACUUUAAAUCAAUAUCAUGCCUAAAUGUGUUUGUAUUUACAAAAUCCUGCCCCUCUACAUAAAGAAAUUAAAACCUUUGCUAAAAGCCAAUGGAGUAAGUAGAUGUAGAUCCAAAAUUCAGACAUAAUGAUCAUCGCAAAAUUAAAUCCUGCACACAAACACACCUCGAGUCUAAAUAACAUGUAAUACCUUCGUCCUAUUUUAUGUAUCGUCAUUUAAUCAGGCAUGAAAUUUAAAAAAUAAGUAAUAACUUUGUAAAAUUUACAAAAUUGUUUCUCUUAAUGGUUACUUUGUAGUUGUCUUUUCUUAAAUAAGUGAAACCCAUUAAGGAUAAAAUGAGAAUGGUGUCAUUAAAUAAUUAUCAAAUAAAGAAAUGUGACAUUCUUUUUAGGACGGACCAAAAAGAAAAUGACGACACAUAAAAUAAGGCGGAGAGAGUAUAAAUAAACUAGUAUUCAUUUAAUGUUUAAAAACAUUAAAUUGAUAGUUAUUUUUGAUAUAUUAUACUUUAUCCGUUUAAAAAAGAAUGACUUGCUUUUCUUUUUAGUCUGUUUUAAAAAAAUGAUCAUUUUUUAAAAUAAUUUUUUAAUUUUAACUUUCCAUAUGACAUGUUUAAGACUACAGGAUUGGAUGAUAUUUUAGUAUAUUUGAUGUAACUUUAAUUUAGAACUAGAAGAUUUAAAAGUAUUAUUUAUUUUCUUAAAUUCUGUGUCAUUAUCAGUCUCAGUAAAAGAAUUCAGAUAGUUCUUCAGAUUUCAGGACUGUCAGAUACAGUCAACUCAGUCACAGUACAAAACAUAGAUAGUUCCAUCAGAUUUAGGACUGUCAGAUACAAGUCAAAUCAGGUCAUUCUUUUUUAAACGGAGGGAGUAUAUAUUACAAAUUUGAACGUUGCUUCUACAUCUUUGGUUAUUUUAGAUGAAGUUAUGUAUGUAAAUUCAUGCUUAAUUAAAAUAAAGACCUAAUACAUGUAUAGGCUCCUGAACUAUUUAACUUUUUUUGUAUAAGCACCUCAAUUAAGUCAGAUAUUUAUUGAACCCUUUACUCCUUCACAAAUCAUAUCAAUUAAGCACAAUUGCUGACAUGGCGUGACAUGUGUCAUACACUCUCUUAAUAGAGAGUGAGAAGCUAUAAUUAAUCAAAAAAUUUAAAUAUAAAAAAAUACAACCAAUAAAAAACACCACAUAAAAGGAACUAAAAAAAAACUAUCAUUUUCAAUUACACGCGUUCUCCAAAUCGACGAACCAGAGUCAAUUCCGGCGAAAAAUUUCGCCGGAGAAACUUGAGAACUGACCGAAAAAUUCUUAAAUCAACUGAAAAUCCACAGAAUCUUCUCACCCUUUUGUUCUUCCCAUUCUGAUUGAUUUCCUAUUUUUCUUGUGUUUUCGGAUUUCAGCCAAUGUGUGCGUGUGUGAUUUGUGCGUGAAUGGAGAAAUUGAUUCGGUGUGUAUGCGACGCGUUAAGAAGAAGAAAAGAAAAAAAAAGGAAAAUAGAGUUUUCAACAAUGACCUCUCCUCUCUCUCUAAAAUCGUGUCUGUGUGUGUCUGAAGAAGAAGAAGAAGCAAUUUCCUUUUUUGAGAAUUUUUUCUUCCUUCUCAAUUGAGUCGAUAUGUUGUGUGUGUUUAUAAGUGAGUGUAGUGUGUGUUUUGGUACCCUGUUUUGUGAGAGUCAUGUGUGUUUGUGAAAUUGUGAAGAAGAAAAGGGAAAUGAGUUUGUGUAUUUGGAAGGGAAGAAGGGGGGUGGGGGAGGAUCGGGGUAGGCUGCAGGGGUGGUAUAUUAAUGAUUUUUUUAGUUUAAAUUAGAUUUAAUUAUAGUAGAAAAUUAUUUUUAUGAUUAUUUUAAGUUAAAUGCUACGUGUCAUUAUUUUAUUUGUCACUUUGCUAUAUUAUUAGUGUGUGUAUUAUACGCAUUUUAUAUUUUUUACCACAUCAGUAAGUUGUGCUUAAUUGAAAUCAUUUGUGAAAGAGUAAAGAAUUUAAUAGUUACAUGAUCUAAUUGAGGUGUCAAUACAGAAAAAGUCAAAAGUUGAGAGACCUAUAUAUAUAUUCUUACUAAAAUAAAAUAUACAGACUGUAAUAUAGUUUUUGUUCAUUUUUAUUUAUUAUAUUUUACUUUUAAAAGUCAAACAUAUUAUGCUUUGAUUAAUAUUAAAAAUAUCUUGAUCAUAUUAAUAUUAAAAAAUUAUAAUUUAUAAUAUUAAUUUAAUUCGAUAACUUUAAAAUUAAUUAAAUUAAUUAUCACGCAACAAAUGGAGGUGAGUAGACGACACGAGUAAGCGAUUAGCGAGUAAGGUAAUAGAGGGGAGUAAUGAAUAGUCAGGGGGGUGGGGUGUGUAAUAAUGGAAUAAGGUGACGUUUGGGUCUACGCUCUAGACCUUAACGUCAACGCCUCACAAACACUAAAGGCCGAAAGUUAUUUGUUUCCAAAUAGAAAAAUCAUACUCCUUCCGUUUAAAAAAGUACCAACUACUUCUCUUUUUAAUUAAUUUUUAAAUAAAUAAUUUUUUUUAAUAACUUUUUAAUUUUAUUUUUUUACAUGUAAUGUUUGAGUCCAUAGGUAUAGUGUCUCCAUAUUAUUAACGUUGUUCAUCAUAUACUUUGUAAUGUAUACAGACUCAUUUUUCCCUUCACUAGACCUAUUAAAUUUUUUUUUUUUUUUUUAAAAUUAUGUAUCAAAUCAAAUUAAGUCAUUUUUUUUUUUUAAAUGAAAGGAGUACUUAAUUGUCUACAAUAACCCAAUCAAAUGAUCAAACUCCAAAAGUUAUUACUACUCCACUGUACAAUCUUACUAUACUACUCACCCGUUAUAAAAUGGUUUGAUUUGUUUUAAUUUGACAUAUUAUAAUUCUAAAUUAAAAAAUAUCAUACAUAUUAAUAUAUUUUUUUUAAUAUUGUGAUCAUAACAUAAAAAAUAAAAAUUAAUGAAUGUUUAGAAAGAAAAUAGUCUUUAAUUCUUGAAAUAAAAUUUUCAAGUAUUUUUUUAAAAAUUAAUAAAUAAUAUUUAAUUAUAUAACUUGUUAUUUUUGAUAAAUAAUUUAAAUACUAAAAACUACUAAAAUUUGAAUCGAAUUUCAUUGUUUGUACUCCCGUCUUUUAAAAAAGAAUGACUUAGUUUGACUUGACACGGAGUUUAAGAAAAUAAAAAAGAUUUUUAAAUUUUGUAAUUUUGAAUUAAAAUUAUGUCAAAUAUAUCAAAGUAUUAUUUAAUCUUGUAAUUUUAAAUACGUCAUGUAAAAAAAUAAAUUAAAAAUAUUAUAAUUAAAAUAGAUUAAAAAAAAGUAGGUCAUGAAAUAAAUUUUAAAAAGUAAAAUAUAUUUGUUCAAUAAUAUUAUUAAAUAUAUGGUAAAACUUCACUCGAAAUGAGUUGACAAAACCAUUUGAAAAUUAUAGGCAAGCGAUAGCUUAAAACGGAGGAAGUAUAUGCUCUCUCUUCUUUUAUUACAACUUAUAUUUCAAACAUAAUACCCCCACUCAAAAGUCAACGCCCCUGUCUAUUUCUCUCUCUCUGCUUGUGCUCAUUUCUCCCAUUUUCCUCUCCACUCUACAAUGAAUCUUUAGCCUUUUUUUAAGCAACUUCCCUUCUAACUAUUUCUAUUUUCAUAGUUUAUUUUUCAAUCUGUUUCCAUGGGAAACGGUGUAGGAAAGCUUAGUGUUUGUUUUACUAGCGGCGCCGCCGUGGAGAGUCGUCGCCGGAAGGAUUUUCCGGUGAUGAUAUCCGACCCACUUGAAGAUUUGGGUCAUUCAUUUUGCUACGUUCGACCCGAUCCGACCCGGAUUUCGUCCUCCAAAGUUCACUCAGAGGAGACCACAACUUUCCGGUCAAUCUCCGGCGCCUCCGUUAGCGCCAACACCUCUACGCCGCUGUCCACGGCGUUUGUCGAUCUGUAUUCGUAUAGCAGUAUUGAUAGGUCUUCGGCUUUUGAGGGGUCUACUUCUUUUGCUUCUAUACCACUUCAGCCAAUUCCGAGGAAUGCCUCAAUUCACUCCGGCCCGCUUUUCACUUCGGGCCUUAGUCAGGCUUCGGGCCCGAUGGAGCGCGGGUUUAUGUCCGGCCCGAUUGAGAGGGGAUUUCAAUCGGGCCCGCUUGAUCGUGGUCUUUAUUCGGGUCCUCUUGAAAGAGGCAGUUCUGAUCAGUUCCAUAGAAGCUAUUCACAUGGUUUUGCUCUUCGAUCCAGAUCAAGAAAAGGGUCGUUCUUUCGGGUUCUUCAAAGAGCUAUAUCGAAGACGUUGUCAAGAGGGCAAAAUUCCAUUGUUGCACCAAUUAAAGGGUCGAUUUCGGUUAAGGAAAGUGAUUGGGCUGUGGGUGCUGAAAAGCAGAAUGAAUUGACUAUCAGCAGUGUGAACUUCAGUAGUGAGUGCAGUUUGGAUGAUGAUGAUUCAUUGGAAAAUCAGAAUCUUCAAUGGGCUCAAGGGAAAGCUGGUGAAGAUCGUGUUCAUGUUGUUGUUUCUGAGGAACAUGGUUGGGUUUUUGUCGGGAUUUAUGAUGGAUUUAAUGGUCCUGAUGCACCUGAUUUCUUGGUAUCCAAUUUGUAUCCCGCUGUUCACAAAGAGCUCAAAGGAUUGUUAUGGGAUGACAAGUCAGAUUCGUCUAGUACUGAUAAUAACAACAGCAUCAAUUUGUCUGUUACAGUACCUGCUCCGAGUUUGGUAGUGGAAGAAUUCAGUCAGAAUCUCGAUGAUGAAUACUUGAGGGAUAGGAUUGUAGAUGGUUGUUCAAGAUGUGUUGAGCAAGAGAACUAUCCUUCAGCAAGGGAGGAUCUUUCCUCCGAUUUGCGGUUAAAGAAGAAGAGGGGGAAGGGUUCAAAGAACAGGUACAGAGGAGUAUCAAAGAAAUGGGAGGAGAAUCAAAGGAGAUGGCGAUGCGAAUGGGACAGGGAAAGGUUAGAACUUGACAGGAGAUUGAAGGAACAGCUGAAUAGAAAUGGUUCAAAUGGAUCAGGAUCAGUUAAUCAUGCAGAUGUAUUGAAAGCUCUUUCUCAAGCAUUGAAGAAAACAGAGGAGGCAUAUUUGGAUCUUGCUGAUAGGAUGAAUAUGGAGAAUCCUGAGCUGGCUUUGAUGGGUAGUUGUGUUCUUGUUAUGUUGAUGAAAGGAGAGGAUGUUUAUGUGAUGAAUGUAGGCGAUAGUCGAGCCGUGUUAGCUCAGAAGAAGGAGCCUAAUCUUUGGAGCCAAGAUUUGGAGAGGAUCAAUGAAGAAACUUUGAAAGAUCUUGAGCUUUUCGAUGGCGAUGAGUCGAAUUGUAUACCUAAUUUAACUGCUUUUCAGCUCAGUACAGAUCACAGCACCUCUGUGGAAGAGGUAUGACAAUCUAGUUUCUGAUUUUAGAUGUCCUUUUUAGGCUUAACUUUAGCAACAAUAGCAACAUAGCCAGUGUAAUGCCACGGGACACGGACCUUACCCUACCUCGUAGAGAUAGAAGCUAAUGAUGUUUGUUAUCUUGGUUCAGUUAGUUAACUUGAUUUGUUAUGUAUUGUGUUAAACUUGAUUUGUUAUGUGUUGUGUUACAGGAAGUUCAAAGAAUAAAAAGUGAACAUCCAGAUGAUGCAUGUGCCUUGAUGAAUGACCGGGUGAAAGGUUCUUUGAAGGUCACAAGGGCUUUUGGUGCUGGUUUCCUCAAACAGGUACUGUUGGAAUAUUUGCUUUUUUAGCCUGUUUAUAAGUCAACCCUUGAGAAUAUUAUAGUAAAAAAAAGACAAGGCCUUUUGAUUCCCUCUGUGCUAGUGAAAGAAUUCUUGCUUUAUUCAUCAAUCCAUAUAUGGAUUGAUAUAUAUCUUGUUGAGAACAAAGUUUAUGCUUUUUCAUAAACCUUUUCAACACAUGCCAAAAACUACUUUUCUCUCUAAGUUGAAAGGCAUAUUCGACCAGAUGUUACUUGUUAGCUUCCUUGACCCUUGUGUUGUUGUUCCUAUGAUCAACAUUUUGCUGUUAACUAUUUAAAAUUUCAACGUUCUUUACUUUUAAGGAUCUUUUGGAAGCUUACUAUCAAAUAUGAUGGCAACCCUUAUUCGUAUUAAUACUAUUUCAAGAACCUGUAAACGUACAAAAGAUCUGCCAUUUUAUUUCCGAACACCAUUUUCAUGUUAAAGGUAUGCUGAAUGAGUCGUGGAAUUGCUGAAUCAAUAACUAUUUUCUCUCUUUUUGAUACAUUGUCUUUAUUUUCUUUACUUGAAAAUGCUCGGUACUCAUAAUCAUAAUUAACUUUCAACUACUGACCCUCCUGCAGCCUAAAUGGAACGAUGCGCUUCUUGAGAUGUUCAGAAUCGAUUAUAUUGGAACUUCCCCCUACAUCAGUUGUCUUCCAUCUCUCCAUCAUCAUAGGUUAGGGCCACGAGACAGGUUUUUAAUACUAUCUUCCGAUGGGCUGUAUCAGUACUUCACAAACGAAGAAGCUGUAUUAGAAGUCGAACAUUUCAUCUCAUGGUCACCAGAAGGAGAUCCAGCACAACACCUCAUUGAGACAGUAUUAUUUCGCGCUGCAAAAAAAGCAGGUAAUUGCUAUACUUACGCAAAAUGCUCGCAUUGCUUCUACGGGGAAAAAAUACGUAACACUGACUUUUAAGAGAACUAGUCUGAAAUGUGUGGUUGUAUUCCUUUUCAGGUAUGGAGUUUCAUGAGUUGCUUGAAAUACCACAAGGGGAUCGACGCCGGUACCAUGAUGAUGUUUCAAUAAUUGUUAUUUCUUUGGAGGGGAGAAUAUGGAGAUCCAGUGCAUAAGUAGGGAAAAAAAAGAGUUAUAGUCCUAUUCGAAAAAAAAAAAUAAAAAAAUCAAAUCAAAUAUCCAAUUUUUGUUCUUUCCUAAAGUCACCAUUUUGUAAAUAGCAACUAAGCCCUGGAACCAGAGUUACUUAGUUGUAAAAUGUACUGGGUGAUUAUGGGAUUGUAAAGGUGUUAGAUCAACUCCUUAUCAGUUUAUAAGUUGUCAUAUAAAGUGUAAUUUCGCUAAGAAAAAACUCUGUUAAAAAUAAUAGUUAUGUACACAGCGUCAUAUAUCAAACGUCUGCAUGUUAUUUCAUUUGCCACCAAUCAAAAGUCAUGGCGGCGAUAGGGGAGCGCAAGGAGUUCAUCCCAACCUUCUCUGUCGGAAGAUUACAUUGUAUGUACUACAUCACGUCGUUUUUCCACGAAAAUUUUGACUCGGUCACUAAUCAAAAGAAACAAGGCUCAAAGUAUUCCAAUUUGAAGUCUUUGUCUAAUGCUUGGCUUUUCAACUUUUGACAAAUAUUAGACGUGUAAUUAGUAACUUCCCGUGUUUCAUGUGAACUGAAUUCUGUUCAAACAUAAAUUUUUGGUAAGAGUAUUAAUUUUUCUUCUUUCAUUCUAUUCAAUAGGCAUAUGUAUUUAUUCAUUCUAAAUGACCUGGUGCAAUUAAGUCAGCACGUAAAGUAAGUCAAAUCAAUUAAUUCUUCUUACUCUUAACGAAUGCGGCAUGCAAUCAAUUUCUUAUCUGCUUUUUUGUUCUCAUGUUUUCGUCUUUAUGAUUUUUUAUUUGUCACCCUUACGUGUAUCAAAUUAUAUGUACCUGAUAUUUUAAGGUUGCUGCGUAUAUACUCUCUUGGUAAAUAAUCAGUUCAUUUUACACUCUUUUGGUAUGUACUCCUUUGCUCAUUAACAAGUUCUGGAUAAAUUUGCCGACCAAAGCUUAUUCAAUAACAUCAUAUGUGGUGUAAGUCUUGAAAGGGUAAGAUGUACGUAGAUCUUAUUCCUGACUUUGUGGGAUAGAGAUGUUUUCAAUAGACCUCGGCUCAAAAAGAUAACUUGUUUUAUUCGGAAGACCAAAGCAUAUGCUGAUACUAGCAGCAACAACAUAAAGUGAGGUUUCGGGAGGGUAGAGUGGAUGUUAAGAUAAUGUUGCAAGACAUGAUACUUAAGUGGGGAACGGAUGUGGGGAUUAUACAACCUUAGCUCUCUCACCUCAACAGCUAGCUUUUAGGGUGUGGUUCUCUUACGCUGUAUCAAUGGUAUGAGAGCCACCCACCACCCUCCAUGCCCAUUGUUAUUGGGAUGGUGACGCGGGUAUGAGAGGUUUUUUUUGUUAGAACUUGGACCCCGAUCUCCAAAGUUUUGACCCGUUACGUAUGUAUUUAUGACUUCCUGAGCAUGUAUAACCACCAAGCCUGCAUGAAGCAGGAGUGGCCAAGAUUCAGAGCUAUUCUGGGUUAUGAAAUCAUCCCUUAUGGCUAACCACUAACCAAUCUUUUAAAUUUGGGUAGUAAAUGCAAAAAAAAAGUUGGGUGGGAAGGUUGAGAAGUAGUAGUAGUAGAAGAAGAAGUUAGGAGUAUCAAAUUCAUCAACAAUAAAUAAGAAAACCUGUCAUUUUGUCAUAAAUUUUGGGGCCAACAUUUCAGGUACGUAGAUGCCAACAUUAGUGAUCAAUACUGAAACUUAUGAGACCAAAUUUAAAAAUUCACUUCCUCACAUUAAAUAAAUUCAACAAAACCCCUUGAUUUUUCUUUUCGAAAACUUAUGGCAGGGCAUGUGUGCGUUGAAAAAAAAGGUCUUCGCGCUUUUACCUCUAUUUUUUGCCGGUCAUUGAUUUUUAUCCCUCAAGAACCGGCUAAACAUGCAUUCAACUUUUUAAGAAACAAUCUAAGCAUGUUGAAAAAAUAGACAUUUUAAUUUGGUAUGGGAUUUUAUGGAUGAACAAAUUACACAUAUGUGGUCCAUAUAUGUACCUCUAGUCAACAUUUGAAUAAAAGAAAAUAACAAUUCAGAAAUACUGGGACAUUGAAGCAUCUUGAUAACGAUUUCAAUUAUAGCAAUUGUAGCAAUCAAUAGUCAAAAUGAUCAUUGAAUUUUAAAAACUAGUACAUAUAAUACCUCCAAAUUCAACAGAUUCAUGAAGCUAGACACUUGAUGAUUUAAAAAGCAUUUUACGUGGAUGAUAACAAGUAUAUCCAUAUUUUUAAAUUUGAAUAAUUGCUUUAAUCGUCUCUUUCCAAAUAUAAUGGAACUGAAUAAUUUAAGGAUAAAAAUGACUUACUUUUUGGAAAAAACCCUGGUGUUUUUGGGCUGGAGAACCAGAAGUAUUUUACCGUGAAAGUGUUAACAAAUACCUUUAGUUUGGAAAUACUUUUUGGUAGUGUAUAUAGUUCAUGUAUUGCUAGUAAUACCAUAUCUAAUACAUGUAUUAAAUUUAAAUUUUCUAAUAGAUCCUACAAAACGACCCCUUCGAGUUAUCAAAUUAGGUCUUCGGCCUAACUCACAAACCCCAUAACUAAUACAUAUAUUAGAUUUUCUAAUACAUCUAUUAGAUUGUCGAAUAAACCCUACCAAACGACCCCAUUAGAUCGUCGAACUAAUUCACAAUCCAAAAAUUAGAUGAAAGGAAGAAAGAUUGUCCAAUCCUUAUAACGAGCCCGAAAUUGCAUUCAUUUACAGAUGUGGGACAAUUCCAUUCAUUAAAGGUAAGCAGAAGAGGGUUCGGAUCAAAGAGUAGAGGCCUAAGUCGGUAUGGGGCCUAAUAUUUGGGCACUGCAGAUACCAUGGUGCUUAAAGAGUGCGACUCCAAUAUCAAUUUGUUGUGAACCAAGUCGACUUUGUACUGGGCUAUGGGUUAAAAGUGGUGAAUUGGAUUGAUCUAGUUGUAAUUAUUGGACCCAUUGAAAUGUUGGAGUGUUUUAUUUGGGAUCCAAGCCCAAUUGUCAAUUGGUUAGAUAGGACUUGGGAUUCGACAGAACAGUUAUGUUUAUUAUGUGAAGCCUUGGCUUGUUCUCUCAUCUCCAUUCCGUGUCUAGUAUCUCAUCCCCUUCUUGUUACUUUCUUACUAUGUUAUCUCAUCUUAGUUAGUGUGACUAUUACUUCUUGUUCGGAUUCUAUAUUAUAAUUUGCGUUGAGCGAUUAUAAAUUAAAUACAUUUCGUGUUUGUGUUAAAAAUCUGGCUCGUUGCACACUUCACAUAUUUUAUCCUCUUUAUCUUAUUAUGCAAUCGUCUUAGAGACAAUAUUUAACAGACUAGUCCAAAAACAAGCUAACAUACUGACACAAGUGCGAAACUAUAAUUGCCUAUUAUAAAUUUGACCAAAAUUAUUGCUAUGGUAAAAUGAAACAGGAUGUAAUAUCUAUAUUUCUGCAUGUAAUAUACAAAUAUCAUCAAGAGCGUUUUGAGUUACAGUUGAAGGGCAAAGGUUCACAACAUAAUCUGUAUGCUCUGGAAAAAUUUCUUUGCCUUGGUUAUAACAACAAAGUAACUUACAGUUAGUUACAUGUCUACACAAUUAGAAGCAUUUCCUGUGGACGAUGGAAGGACCAGAUUCAUCGUACUCUGUCUUUGCAAUCCACAUCUGCAUUUCAAAGGGAAAAACAAGUAUAGCGCUUCGUCAGGAAAUGAACUUAAAGAAUGAGACACAGAGUAAUAGGAGAUUGGGAGGAAAAACAGCAUCUAUAUACACCUGAAACUUGCUAAAUUAGACAUGUAGUGCAUGUAACUGAACUUUGCACAUGUAAUAGUGACAAACACUAGUCUUGUUCUUUUAACCGAAUUUGACAUACUCUAGGAACUAAAAUUAUGACAUAGAAUAAGAAGCAGUCCCACAAGAAUCUGAUGUAUGUCAAGAAGUGUUAUGAUAUGGCCAAAGACCUUGUACACAAGCAAAUUAUAUGUACUAAUGACAAUUAACAUAAUUGAAUCUUGUCAAUUUUCAAGUUUUUACUAACCUGUUGGAAGGUACUUAGAGAAGCCAAAAUAGAACCUCCAAUCCAAACACUAUACUUCCUUUCAGGUGGAGCAACAACCUUAAUUUUCAUGCUGCUUGGAGCCAAGGCAGUAAUUUCCUUGCUCAUUCUAUCAGCAAUUCCAGUGAACAUAGUCGAACCACCACUAAGUACAAUGUUACCAUAAAGAUCCUUCCUGAUAUCCACAUCACACUUCAUGAUCGAAUUGUAAGUAGUUUCAUGAAUGCCAGCAGCUUCCAUACCGAUCAUAGAAGGCUGGAAAAGUACUUCUGGGCAUCGGAAACGUUCAGCACCUAUCGUAAUAACCUGACCAUCAGGCAACUCAUAGCUCUUCUCAACAGAAGAGCUAGUCUUUGAUGUAUCCAAUUCUUGCUCAUAGUCAAGAGCAAUAUAUGAGAGUUUUUCCUUCACGUCCCUCACGAUUUCCCUUUCUGCUGAAGUGGUGAAUGAGUAACCACGCUCCGUCAAGAUUUUCAUUAGGUGAUCAGUGAGGUCACGACCAGCCAAAUCAAGACGUAAAAUAGCAUGUGGAAGAGCAUAUCCCUCAUAGAUUGGGACAGUGUGACUGACACCGUCACCAGAGUCCAGGACAAUACCUAGAUAUGAGAUUCAGUGUUACAGCCGAAUCGCCAUAAAGUAAACACGAAAACAACAGUUCUUACAUGUCAGAAACCUAGAGGAGAUGAAGAAAUGAUGCCAUUUAUUUUACAUUGAACUAGGUCCUCCAUGUUUCUUAGAACAGUUUAGUAUUGAAAACAUGUUGUGCAACACAGGAUUUCAUCUUUCUUGUUUACUUUCUUCGCGCCAAGUGAAAAAUAAAUGUUCGCUCAGCUGAUCAGAAUAGAAUGCAGCAACUGUACUUCAAUCUCGAACAAAUUGGAAUCAACUAUUUACGAAUCUUCACAACUUAUGUCACCCCAUUUAAAGUCCGAUAGUACAUAAAAAUAAACCGCAAACAACCUUUUAAGUCUAUAUAUUUUGCGCUAGCAUAUAUUUUAUGACAGGACUAAAGUACUUGCAGAAAGCAUGACCUGAAGUAAACGUACUAACAUGAUUAGAACUUUUCCUCAGUUGACUGAACUCUCAAACACUAUAUAGAGCGGAAUGAAAAUGCAAGAAAUGGUUCACCUGUUGUACGGCCACUGGCGUAAAGGGAUAGAACAGCUUGAAUGGCAACAUACAUAGCCGGGGUGUUAAAUGUCUCAAACAUGAUUUGAGUCAUCUUCUCACGAUUAGCCUUGGGGUUAAGAGGUGCUUCUGUUAGUAGUACAGGGUGUUCCUCUGGAGCCACACGAAGCUCAUUGUAAAAUGUAUGAUGCCAAAUUUUCUCCAUAUCGUCCCAAUUGCUGACAAUACCAUGCUCAAUAGGGUAUUUCAAAGUGAGAAUACCACGUUUGGAUUGAGCUUCGUCUCCUACAUAUGCAUCUUUUUGGCCCAUUCCUACCAUUACUCCCGUGUGACGAGGGCGACCAACAAUGCUAGGGAAUACUGCUCUUGGAGCGUCAUCUCCAGCAAAUCCCGCCUAUAAAUGACAAUUACACAAGUCAAAAGAGGAACAUAUAAUUGGUAAAUCAAUGGCAUUUUAUCCUUCAAAGGGAGCAUUGGCGCGCGAUGGUUAAGAGUUGUCACCAUGUGAUCAAAAGGUCACAAGUUCAAGUUAAGGUGGUUGCAUGCAUGAUAAUCAAGGGUGCUUUUCACGAAUAGAACAGACAAAAUUUGCCAGAAAUCCGCCAACAAAUUUUCACGAUUUUGUUGGAUCACACUAUAAAAUUUGUCAGAUUGUGUUAUCAUAAAAUUUGCUGAUGGCCAUAAAAUUAGUCAGGUUGCCUUGUCAUAAAACUUGACGAAAGUUUAGUGCUGCAAGCUAUUUUUGAUGAAACUUUUUCAAUCGAAUGACUUUGAUUUAUAGGAUUUAAUUUUAAGUAUUUGACUAGGAAAAAUUGAAUCUUAUUGAAUCUUUUGGAAAAUUUUAAAAUGUGUUACGUAUUUCGUACCUUAACCAUUCCAGUUCCAUUAUCACAGACGAGUGGCUGGAUAUCCUCACCAUCUGCCAUUUUUUAUCAAAUACCUAUGACCAAAAUUGAAAGCCUUAAAUAAAAAACUGAACAAAAUUCAAACAUAAAGACAAUGACAUGCAAAAAUCAUAGAAAAUGAGAUAGUUACUUUUAAAAUUAUUGGGUGGGGAAGGUCCUGGAAUAGUAGUAGGCUAGAUAAUUCAAUAUAGACAAGAAGAAAAAGGAAAAAAAAAAACUGAGGAAGAAUAGGGAGCAAAGCUGAUGCAUUUAAAGAAAAAAUUGGUUAUAAUUGCAAAGUCAUUGGUGGAAAUCAACCGCAUUUUUUGCUGUCUAUGAUCUUGCCUAUCCUCUCAUUUUCCUCUGACUAAUCAGGCCUCAUACAUUUAUAACCGCUAACUUAUAAUAUAUGUUCAUUGCUAACUUAUAGUAUAAAAUAAGUUAUUAAUAAUAUAUGUUUAUGGCUAGUUUAACUUCUAUACUUAGCCUCUUUUGGUUGGAAAACGAGUUAUCUCGAGAUUAGCAAUUUCGAAAUUAGUUAUCCCACUAUUAAGGAUGAAUAAGAAAAUACUGUAAUCCCGGAUACUAAUUCUGGGAUGAAUUAUCACAUGCAUUUUGUUCCAACCAAACAUGGGAUAUACGCUCAUCUUCUAAAUUAAUCUCGGAAUUAGUUAUCUUUUUCCCUCCUACUAAACGAUCCCUAAUAUAUAAAGAAUUAUUAUACUAUGAGGACAUUUAUAAGGUAACUAGAGGUAACUUUUCAUUAUAAGUGAGACUGGUAAUAUGAAAAAAGACUUGUAUUAAUAACAUGUCAAAUGUAAUUUCACAAGUGGUGUCGUGGAGGGUGAUGCGUCAGUAACUUUUACCCCUAUUUUGAGAAGAAUAUAAGUGGAGAACCACGACCGGGAAAAAGGGUCAAAUGACAGUGAUUUAAUUGCUUAGAUCAUUAUUUACCGACUCAAUCAGGCCAGGAAAGUCCUGGCAACAAUUGAAAGGAAGGGGUUCAUGUGUAGUUGUUGGUUCGUCCUCUUCUUAGUCAAUGAGGUACAACACGUUCGAUAUCUACAACAAAAGAAAGAACAAUUAUACAAUUCGAUGCGGUUUAAAUUUCCCUCAAAAUCAUAAAUUUCCCAGUUUUAACAAACGAAAAAGAGAGAAAUUUGUGGGACAUGCAAAGAAGAAUGAAAGCCCAAGUAAAAAUUUCAAGAGGGAAAAAUGAAUAAAAUCUCGUCAAUUUGCCUAAAUAUGACUAGUGAUAAUAGGCAAUACACGUUUUUGUUUUAAUAAAUUGGUUUUACAUGUGGUAUAUUCUGAGAAAAUAUUCCUUUCAAAACUCCAAUAUAAAUGCAUAUUUAUAUUUGUAAUUUGAUCCAUUUAGAUCAUUGAUAAUUUUAUGGGUAUACGUGAAAAAAAUUAUUCUUUCUAUCCAAAUGAAUUUACAAGAAAUGUUCCAAAUACACUUGCGUGUAAGAUUGCACGAACCUCGUGCGGCAAAUUCACUAAUCAUUUUAAGAAAAUUCAUUUUUAUGGGUACCUCCAACUUGUAAUUGUAGUAAUGGUGGGUGCGUCCAACUUGUAAAAUUGGAUUAACACUGUCCCACAUUUGACUUUCAAUAUAGAACGCCAGCAUAACCAUUAGUAUUAUAUACGAACAUAAUAUUAGUAACAAUAAAUAAAGAGGAAAUAUCUAUUUGAAUCUCAGAAGUUUUGAAGUAGUUGGUCGACAAUCUUUCUUAUUCUAAUAACUUAGCGUGCUUUCUGAUUAUUUAAAUUUUCUCACCACUUAAUUUUAAAUAAUUUUUUAUGGUGUUAAUUAGAAAGAAAUGGAUCUCAAUCUUAACUCAAUCACAGGUACUAGCUCAUGAGCGAUGAAUAUUCAAGACUCUAUAGCGGAAUGACCCAUCGAUCUCAACUCUUCAACACUGGUUCAUUUUACAUCUUCACUUCAAAAUCUUUUCUUCUAACACACAUGUAAUUAAUAACAUAAAAAUAGGAGGAUAUCAUCAAUCGUUUCUUGAAAACUAAGGAGAUAUUAAAACUGACAAGAACAUCAGUUAUUUAAAUAUUAAUCUAGUCAAAGAUCCGUUGCCUGCGUCUUCAAUUUUUAUACAUGUCAAGAUUAUUUCUAUUUUGAGAUCUAAUUAAGAAAACACGAGUUGUCAUGUAAGUUGUCUAUAGUAUUUUAUUUGUCAUGUAUGUUGUCUAUAGUAUUUUGUUAUGACUUCUUCACUUCUAUUAUUUGGACUAUCUUUUUCCUUGAGCCGAGGGCCUAUGUGAACUCUAUUUUUUCCAAACCCACAGAAUUAUACCGUAUAUGUUAGUUGUCUUGUUCUCCUAUGUCCUUUGGACUUUUUCAACGUACAAGUUGGACACUAGUGCAACUUCUCAACCGUGUAAAAGAAAGUUGGGCAUCUGAUCUGCAACCAAAUUGCAUCCCUAGCUAUUUGAUAAGAAAACGUGCAAAAUAGCAAUAUAAAUAGACAAGCUUAUUGUUUAAUUGCUGCAUAUCCAAACUUUUCACUUGCACCAAAAAGAAAGACACUUCGAAGAGAAAAAAAGGCUGUCAGUAGCUAAUAUAACAAGCCGAAGAAAAAAGAUGAAGAACGUUAUGAAGAUUAUCCUUGUGCUUUCUAUCAUUAUGUGCGUCCUACUAACACCUACCAUUGCUAGACGGGGUGUGAGUGGUGGAACCAAGGCUAGUAGUGGGUCUAGUAGAACCAAUUGGACCCCAGCAGUCCGUGCUGCUGGUCGCGCCAGCAACAACUCAUCAUCAUCCACUCCCACCCCCUUGUGCAUGUCCUCUAUACUUAUGGCUCUAUUUGCUUACCUUUCAUUUGUUUACUUUUGAUAGACGUACCGGAUUUCAGAAUUUAGAUAUUACGGGUUGAGUAUGUGUGAAAUUUAAAAUGCAUAUAUAAUUCUAUCGAUCUACAUUUAUUUUUCGGUAUAUAUAUAGGAGAUUCACGGGUUUCUGUGGAACCAUCAAACCCGUGGUUAGAUCUGAAAUUGUUACUAUUAUUUAUUUGUAUAAAAUUCGUUUGUUGUUCUUUGUACAUUUGUGGCAUAAAUAAAGUAUAUUAUUGGCUGGUGUACCAAGGCAAUGUCAUAAUGUAGUCUGCUGGAGUUUUGUAUAAAAUCUGGU